UUUCGGGUGAUGAAGAAAAUCGUUCGGAUUCCCAUUGAUAUUUCAUGAUUAGUAUAACUAGCUACUUCUGAUGGAU
rfam:Triticum aestivum genome assembly, contig: Triticum_aestivum_CS42_TGACv1_scaffold_049831_1BS